CGGAAGAAGGACGUGGAUAGCUGCGAAAAGCUCCGGUUAGUCGCUAACAGACGUUUGACCCGGAGAUCUCCGAAUGGGGCAACCCGGCAGGGUCAUACCUGUCAGCUUCCUGGUGAAUCCAUAGCCAGGGAGCAGCAAAGUCAGGGAACUGAAACAUCUAAGUACCUGAACGAGAAGAAAUCAAAAGAGACUCCCCUAGUAGUGGCGAGCGAACGGGGACCAGCCUAAACCCGAGGAGGUAAAACUCUUCGGGGGUCGUGGGGCUCGCGAUGUGGGAUUCUGGAAGCUAGACGAACGGUCUGGGAUGGCCGGCCAUAGAAGGUGACAGCCCUGUAAUCGAAAGCGGAAGGAGCCCUAGUGAGUACCCGAGUACCGCAGGACACGUGUAAUCCGGCGGGAAUCUGGGAGGACCAUCUCCCAAGGCUAAGUACUCCUGAUCGACCGAUAGUGAACUAGUACCGCGAGGGAAAGGUGAAAAGAACCCCGGUUAGGGGAGUGAAAAUAGUACCUGAAACCGUGUGCCUACAAGCAGUGGGAGCGCUAUGCCCGCAAGGGAAGGCGUC
rnacentral:rRNA from 1 species